rnacentral:lncRNA from 10 species
AGAGCUUUGAUCUCUGACUUAGAUUCUGAUCGUCCUCACCAGAUGGAAGAGGGAUCUUGCAGAACACAAGCAUGAGUGGCUCAAGAAUUAAAUAAAUAAAUUUUUCUCAAGGAAAAAAGAUGACGCUUUGUGACUAAGUCACAAGGAUCUGGAAUUGUAUCGGUUACUGCGGUAUAGCUUAGCCUGCUCUAUCACACUACUAUGAUUGUUUCCAUCUCACAGAUAAGAAAACUGAGACUCAAAGAAGACAUAUGACGUGCCAAAAAUCAUCGUGCUAUUAAGAGGCAGGACUGAGAAUAGAACUCAAACCUCUUGAUUCAAGUGAUCUUUCCCUUACGACCCAAAUGUUAAGCUGUUGCCUGCAUGCAUAAAUUAAUGACCAGCUGGUAUUCAAUGACAAUCUGUACAAUUAAUACCCAAUGCCAGAAAACAUACUUUUGUUCUUAAUUUCUUUGUUCAAUCCAGGGCCUCUUUACCUUCUUCACUUGCAGGCGCUGGAGAAUGGAGAGACAAACACACCAACAAAGCCUAGAACAUACCACGAACCUGUGCUGCAUUUCAUUUUUUUGUAUAAAGGCUUCUUCAUGAAAUCAAAAGAGUAUUGUUAAGGACAGGAAGUGACUGCAGCAUUAACACGAUCCAGAAGUGAGCGGUGAUAAACUCUGGCACUGCUACAGAAAGGAAAAACCAGGCUCAGAGAUGCAGAAACUCAGAGAACACAUUCUGUAGCUGAGAGGAAAAACCCACACAAACUCAAAACAAAACCAGUUCAAAUAAACCUCGCUCCUUGCCAUCUAUAAACAGAGUUAAGUUCAAGGGAGAAUCUUCUGGCCCCAACAAGAACCAUGGAAUGAGAUAAGAUGUUUUCUCCUUUAUUUUAAUGUGUGGACUGCAUUGGCGCCCCAUUAUGAAGGCAUUUCAAAUAUCCAUUAAUGAUUUAAUUGACUAAGUGCCAUUCUUCCCUGACUACCAUGUUGGGUUUAUCUGUGCAGAGCUUCCUGCGAUUAUCUUAAGUCUCUGGCAGCUUAAUGAAGGCUGUAUGUCGGCAAACACUAUUUUUUAAAAAUUAGAGGAUAAACUUACAAGGAGUAAAUGCUCCAUUAGAUGUUGAGAGGUCACUCAUGCCCCAACUUGACUCGGAUGUCUGACACAGCUGCUUCAAGAAUUCCACGUGGCCCCAGGCGAUGGAGCUGUUAAAUCACGUUCACGUAGGACAUUCCUCUUCUGGCCUGAAAUACAAUCUGGUUAAUGAAUUUACCUUCUUCACAUCCCAGGUACCGGUCAGAAUACCCAACCUGAAGAUCUUUUGUGCUGAGUAUUUAAAAAUCUCUCUCUCAUAGGAUUCCUACAAGAGUCAACAUUUUGUUUCUCUGAAAAAGGAACACUCGCUUCCAGUCUGUUGUCACAUAUCUGAACUGUUAGACCCGGCUGUGUUUUCCAGGAGCAAUAAUUGGAAUUCUCUCUAACCCAACCAAACUCUUUUUAAUGAGUUCAGGGGAAUCAGCGUGUUUGUGUUGGCUUCCUGGACCUUCGAGGCUCACAGACCUAGCCAGCUCAGGCACAGAUCAGCAGCCGGGGAAGGCAUUAGUCUCCCCCACAUAUCUACCCUGCGAGCUUUAUGGCCAAGAGCAAUGCCAGGGAGUUCAAGUGAUUAGUUAUGUUAGGGAAACGAAAGCCAACAACCCAAGAAUCAGCGUCCCCAGGAAAAGGUCAAUAGGCCUCGGUGCUGUAAUGAAUGUAACAAAUAUUUAAAUAAGGAUAAUAUUGAAAUGUGUUCAGUCAUCUUGAUUUAUUUCCAAUUACUUGGCUUUUGCUCCACUGAGUAGUUCUGAAAUUCAAAGUUGAUUUCUGCUGACUUGUGGAGCCACACCACCUCUAUUUUUCUUCCUUCUACGUGCCUUUCAAUCCUAUUUCACAGUCCCUUCCAAAAGGACCACAAAGCAUGGCAAACAGAGAUAGACUCAGUCUACCAAGUGGCUACAAAGGAUGUUGUUUUAUAAAGCAGAGAACCUGAGCCAAGCUUCUGCACAAUACAGAGGAAGAGUCAAGGCUCUAGACAGACUGGUCCAGGCCAUGGUGAAUGGCGAGGCCCAUUCAAUCCCAACCAUCAGAGGAGCUUUUUUCCUUUCCAAAGCAUGAGUCCUACAGGGAUGAAGAUGAGAAUCUCCUUGAAUUUAGAAUUGUAAUGUCUCAACUGGAGGAGUUCCAAAAGAUUCCCUACUAUUAGCUCCAGGAAGCAGAGGCUGGGCCAGAUGAAAUGGAUUGCCCACGAUUCUCAGCGAGUUGAGAGGAAGGGCACUGGCCCAGGGGAUGCUUCCCUGUUCUCCCUCCUGCCCACCCUGCUGCACGCAUGCAUCGAUUUAAUCAUAAGCGAGCCUCAAACCAUGGCCACGCACUGUUCUGACACUUGCUGGGAAAUAAUCCCAGUGCCUCCUCUGGGUACAGUGCAGUAGGUAGGGUGAGAGGGUAGGUGCCAAGUGGGAUCUACUACACAGACUGGUAGAGUUUUACCUACCUCCAUACCUGUCCCCACUCACUCUUACUCUGUCUUAGGAAGCCAACGGGCAGUAGAACUUCUCUCCUAACACUUUACCAUGAAAAAGUUUCAAUGGGCACGCCAGCACCAUUUUAAGGUUGUUGGCAGCAUCCUCACCGUGAUGCCCACUGGUAUCUCAACAAGGAUGGAAAAAGUGACAGCCUUUAACUAUGGUUCUUCUUUCAACCCAAGUAGUUACCAUUUAUUGAGCACGUACUGUGUACCAAGAACUACAGAGGUGCAUGUCUCUGACCCUUGCAA